GGCUCCGUGGUGUAAUUGGUAUCGCAUUGGCCUAGAAUGCCGAAGACGCUGGUUCGAAUCCAGCCGGUGCCC
rnacentral:tRNA from 1 species